GACGUGUUGUAACCCGCUUCUAAUAUUAAUUUUGUGUUCCUCGCAGUACGGCGACUGCAUGAUAGCGAUGGUACUUGCGAACUGGACAGAAGCUGCAUUGUUCGAUGAACAUGACAUCGAAGCCGCGACAAAAGCAGCUCGCUGCUCAUACGCCGCGAUGCGUAACAUGGAUGUGGUAUGGCACAUGACCAGCUACCUUAGAAAGAUUGCAGGUUAAGGCCCAUUC